rnacentral:rRNA from 1 species
GAUGAACGCUGGCGGCGUGCCUAAUACAUGCAAGUCGAGCGAACAGAUGAGGAGCUUGCUCCUCUGACGUUAGCGGCGGACGGGUGAGUAACACGUGGAUAACCUACCUAUAAGACUGGGAUAACUUCGGGAAACCGGAGCUAAUACCGGAUAAUAUAUUGAACCGCAUGGUUCAAUAGUGAAAGACGGUUUUGCUGUCACCUAUAGCUGGAUCCGCGCCGCAUUAGCUAGUUGGUAAGGUAACGGCUUACCAAGGCAACGAUGCGUAGCCGACCUGAGAGGGUGAUCGGCCACACUGGAACUGAGACACGGUCCAGACUCCUACGGGAGGCAGCAGUAGGGAAUCUUCCGCAACGGGCGAAAGCCUGACGGAGCAGCGCCGCGUGAGUGAUGAAGGUCUUCGGAUCGUAAAACUCUGUUAUUAGGGAAGAACAAAUGUGUAAGUAACUAUGCACGUCUUGACGGUACCUAAUCAGAAAGCCACGGCUAACUACGUG